rnacentral:rRNA from 1 species
AAAGAAACCAACAGGGAUUGCCUUAGUAACGGCGAGUGAAGCGGCAAUAGCUCAAAUUUGAAAUCUGGCGCUUGCGUCCGAGUUGUAAUUUGUAGAGGAUGAUUUUGGUUAGGUACCUUUCGAGUUCCUUGGAACAGGACGCCUUAGAGGGUGAGAGCCCCGUACGAUUGGAUGCCGAGCCUCUGUAAAUCUCCUUCGACGAGUCGAGUAGUUUGGGAAUGCUGCUCUAAAUGGGAGGUAAAUUUCUUCUAAAGCUAAAUACCGGCCAGAGACCGAUAGCGCACAAGUAGAGUGAUCGAAAGAUGAAAAGCACUUUGAAAAGAGGGUUAAAUAGCACGUGAAAUUGUUGAAAGGGAAGGAUUUAUGACCAGACUUUUUCUAGGAGAAUCAUCCGGUGUUCUCACCGGUGCACUUCUUUUAGUUUAGGCCAGCAUCGACUUUCGGCGGUGGAUAAAAGCUUUAGGAAUGUGGCUUCCCUCGGGAAGUGUUAUAGCCUAUUGUAUAAUACACUGCUGGGGGUCGAGGUACGCGCUUCUGCAAGGAUGCUGGCGUAAUGGUUAUCAAUCACCGGUCUUG